GCUUCCGUAGCUCAGGUGGUAAGAGUACCGCACUCGUAAUGCGGGGGUCCCGGGUUCGAAUCCCGGCGGAAGCU
rnacentral:tRNA from 1 species